rnacentral:rRNA from 1 species
AAAUUGAAGAGUUUGAUCAUGGCUCAGAUUGAACGCUGGCGGCAAGCCUAACACAUGCAAGUCGAGCGGUAGCACAAGAGAGCUUGCUCUCUGGGUGACGAGCGGCGGACGGGUGAGUAAUGUCUGGGAAACUGCCUGAUGGAGGGGGAUAACUGCUGGAAACGGUAGCUAAUACCGCAUAACGUCGCAAGACCAAAGUGGGGGACCUUCGGUCCUCACGCCAUCAGAUGUGCCCAGAUGGGAUUAGCUAGUAGGUGGGGUAAUGGCUCACCUAGGCGACGAUCCCUAGCUGGUCUGAGAGGAUGACCAGCCACACUGGAACUGAGACACGGUCCAGACUUCUACGGGAGGCAGCAGUGGGGAAUAUUGCACAAUGGGCGCAAGCCUGAUGCAGCUAUGCCGCGUGUGUGAAGAAGGCCUUCGGGUUGUAAAGCACUUUCAGCGAGGAAGAAGGCAGCAAGGUUAAUAACCUUGCUGAUUGACGUUACUCGCAGAAGAAGCACCGGCUAACUCCGUGCCAGCAGCCGCGGUAAUACGGAGGGUGCAAGCGUUAAUCGGAAUGACUGGGCGUAAAGCGCACGCAGGCGGUUUGUUAAGUUGGAUGUGAAAU